rnacentral:lncRNA from 1 species
AGAGAGAGUCUUUGUGUGUGAGUGACAAGAGUGAGUGCUAUUUACGAAAACUAUUACAUUGCAGCAGAUUUCGGUCAUGGCAUCGAAGCUCUGCGACUCUUGCCAAUCGGCGACGGCGACUCUGUUCUGCCGCGCCGACUCCGCCUUCCUCUGCGUCAACUGCGACUCCAAGAUCCACGCGGCCAACAAGCUCGCCUCCCGCCACCCCCGUGUCUGGCUCUGCGAGGUCUGCGAGCAAGCUCCAGCUCACGUCACCUGCAAGGCCGACGACGCCGCCCUCUGCGUCACCUGUGACCGCGACAUCCACUCCGCCAACCCUCUCAGCAGUCGCCACGAUCGAGUCCCUGUCACGCCGUUUUACGAUUCCG